GCGGGAAUUGUAAUUUGAAGGUUUCGUGGUCUGAGUCGGCCGCGCCCAAGUCCAUUGGAACAUGGCGCCUGGGAGGGUGAGAGCCCCGUAUGGCGCACGCCGACUCUUUGCACCGCGGCUCCGACGAGUCGAGUUGUUUGGGAAUGCAGCUCUAAGUGGGUGGUAAAUUCCAUCUAAAGCUAAAUAUUGGCGAGAGACCGAUAGCGAACAAGUACAGUGAUGGAAAGAUGAAAAGCACUUUGAAAAGAGAGUGAAACAGCACGUGAAAUUGUUGAAAGGGAAGGGCUUGCAAGCAGACACGGUUUUACCGGGCCAGCGUCGAAAAGGGGGGAGGAACAAGAACUCGAGAAUGUGGCGCGCACCUUCGGGCGCGCGUGUUAUAGCUCGUGUUGACGCCUCCAUCCCUUUUCGAGGCCUGCGAUUCUAGGACGCUGGCGUAAUGGUUGCAAGCCGCCCGUCUU
rnacentral:rRNA from 1 species